rnacentral:rRNA from 1 species
AUGAACGCUAGCUACAGGCUUAACACAUGCAAGUCGAGGGGCAGCAUGGUCUUAGCUUGCUAAGGCCGAUGGCGACCGGCGCACGGGUGAGUAACACGUAUCCAACCUGCCGUCUACUCUUGGACAGCCUUCUGAAAGGAAGAUUAAUACAAGAUGGCAUCAUGAGUCCGCAUGUUCACAUGAUUAAAGGUAUUCCGGUAGACGAUGGGGAUGCGUUCCAUUAGAUAGUAGGCGGGGUAACGGCCCACCUAGUCUUCGAUGGAUAGGGGUUCUGAGAGGAAGGUCCCCCACAUUGGAACUGAGACACGGUCCAAACUCCUACGGGAGGCAGCAGUGAGGAAUAUUGGUCAAUGGGCGAGAGCCUGAACCAGCCAAGUAGCGUGAAGGAUGACUGCCCUAUGGGUUGUAAACUUCUUUUAUAAAGGAAUAAAGUCGGGUAUGUAUACCCGUUUGCAUGUACUUUAUGAAUAAGGAUCGGCUAACUCCGUGCCAGCAGCCGCGGUAAUACGGAGGAUCCGAGCGUUAUCCGGAUUUAUUGGGUUUAAAGGGAGCGUAGAUGGAUGUUUAAGUCAGUUGUGAAAGUUUGCGGCUCAACCGUAAAAUUGCAGUUGAUACUGGAUAUCUUGAGUGCAGUUGAGGCAGGCGGAAUUCGUGGUGUAGCGGUGAAAUGCUUAGAUAUCACGAAGAACUCCGAUUGCGAAGGCAGCCUGCUAAGCUGCAACUGACAUUGAGGCUCGAAAGUGUGGGUAUCAAACAGGAUUAGAUACCCUGGUAGUCCACACGGUAAACGAUGAAUACUCGCUGUUUGCGAUAUACUGCAAGCGGCCAAGCGAAAGCGUUAAGUAUUCCACCUGGGGAGUACGCCGGCAACGGUGAAACUCAAAGGAAUUGACGGGGGCCCGCACAAGCGGUGGAGCAUGUGGUUUAAUUCGAAGCAACGCGAAGAACCUUACCAGGUCUUGACAUCGAUCUAAAGGCUCCAGAGAUGGAGAGAUAGCUAUAGAGAAGACAGGUGGUGCAUGGUUGUCGUCAGCUCGUGUCGUGAGAUGUUGGGUUAAGUCCCGCAACGAGCGCAACCCUUAUCUUUAGUUACUAACAGGUUCCGCUGAGGACUCUGACAAGACUGCCAUCGUAAGAUGUGAGGAAGGUGGGGAUGACGUCAAAUCAGCACGGCCCUUACGUCCGGGGCUACACACGUGUUACAAUGGGGGGUACAGAGGGCCGCUACCACGCGAGUGGAUGCCAAUCCCAAAAACCUCUCUCAGUUCGGACUGGAGUCUGCAACCCGACUCCACGAAGCUGGAUUCGCUAGUAAUCGCGCAUCAGCCACGGCGCGGUGAAUACGUUCCCGGGCCUUGUACACACCGCCCGUCAAGCCAUGGGAGCCGGGGGUACCUGAAGUGCGUAACCGCGAGGAGCGCCCUAGGGUAAAACUGGUGACUGGGGCU